GCCUUCGUAGCUCAGUGGAUAGAGCAUCCCCCUCCUAAGUGGAGGAUCGCACGUUCGAUUCGUGUCCAGGGCA
rnacentral:tRNA from 1 species